CAGUCGCCGCGGGAAUACGGAGGGAGCUAGCGUUGUUCGGAAUUACUGGGCGUAAAGCGCACGUAGGCGGCUUUGUAAGUUAGAGGUGAAAGCCUGGAGCUCAACUCCAGAAUUGCCUUUAAGACUGCAUCGCUUGAAUCCGGGAGAGGUGAGUGGAAUUCCGAGUGUAGAGGUGAAAUUCGUAGAUAUUCGGAAGAACACCAGUGGCGAAGGCGGCUCACUGGACCGGCAUUGACGCUGAGGUGCGAAAGCGUGGGGAGCAAACAGGAUUAGAUACCCCCGUAGUCCCUGUCUCUUAUAC
rnacentral:rRNA from 1 species